rnacentral:rRNA from 1 species
CUUUACUGUAGCCUGGUAUUGGGUUCGGGCUUUGACUGCGCAGGAUAGGUGGGAGACUAUGAAGCUGCCCUUGUGGGGGCAGUGGAGUCAUCAGUGAGAUACCACUCUGUCAAGGCUAGAAUUCUAACCGUCUGCCGUUAACCGGCGACGGAACAGUAUCAGGUGGGCAGUUUGACUGGGGCGGUCGCCUCCUAAAUGGUAACGGAGGCGCGCAAAGGUUCCCUCAGGCUGGUUGGAAAUCAGCCGAAGAGUGUAAAGGCAGAAGGGAGCUUGACUGCAAGAGCAACAACUCAAGCAGGGACGAAAGUCGGCCUUAGUGAUCCGACGGCGCUGAGUGGAAGGGCCGUCGCUCAACGGAUAAAAGUUA